ACACUGUACGAGUUUGUCCUGGCUCAGGAUGAACGCUAGCGGCAGGCUUAAUACAUGCAAGUCGAGGGGCAGCGCGGGUAGCAAUACCUGGCGGCGACCGGCAAACGGGUGCGGAACACGUACGCAACCUUCCCAAAACUGGUGAAUAGCCCUCCGAAAGGAGGAUUAAUACACCGUACCAUAAUGAAGAGGCAUCUCUUUGUUAUUAUAGCCGCAAGGCGGUUUUGGAUGGGCGUGCGCCUGAUUAGGUAGUUGGCGGGGUAACGGCCCACCAAGCCUGCGAUCAGUAACUGGUGUGAGAGCACGACCAGUCACACGGGCACUGAGACACGGGCCCGACUCCUACGGGAGGCAGCAGUAAGGAAUAUUGGUCAAUGGACGCAAGUCUGAACCAGCCAUGCCGCGUGAAGGAUGACGGCCCUCUGGGUUGUAAACUUCUUUUAUCUGGGACGAAAAAAGGGCUUUCUAGCUCACUUGACGGUACCAGAGGAAUAAGCACCGGCUAACUCCGUG
rnacentral:rRNA from 1 species